rnacentral:rRNA from 1 species
UACGGAGGGUGCAAGCGUUAUCCGGAUUCACUGGGCUUAAAGGGUGCGUAGGCGGGCAGGUAAGUCAGUGGUGAAAUCUCCGAGCUUAACUCGGAAACUGCCGUUGAUACUAUUUGUCUUGAAUAUUGUGGAGGUAAGCGGAAUAUGUCAUGUAGCGGUGAAAUGCUUAGAUAUGACAUAGAACACCAAUUGCGAAGGCAGCUUACUACACAAUGAUUGACACUGAGGCACGAAAGCGUGGGGAUCAAACAGG